rnacentral:rRNA from 1 species
UUGAACGCUGGCGGCAUGCCUUACACAUGCAAGUCGAACGGCAGCACGGGUGCUUGCACCUGGUGGCGAGUGGCGAACGGGUGAGUAAUACAUCGGAACAUGUCCUGUAGUGGGGGAUAGCCCGGCGAAAGCCGGAUUAAUACCGCAUACGAUCUACGGAUGAAAGCGGGGGACCUUCGGGCCUCGCGCUAUAGGGUUGGCCGAUGGCUGAUUAGCUAGUUGGUGGGGUAAAGGCCUACCAAGGCGACGAUCAGUAGCUGGUCUGAGAGGACGACCAGCCACACUGGGACUGAGACACGGCCCAGACUCCUACGGGAGGCAGCAGUGGGGAAUUUUGGACAAUGGGCGAAAGCCUGAUCCAGCAAUGCCGCGUGUGUGAAGAAGGCCUUCGGGUUGUAAAGCACUUUUGUCCGGAAAGAAAUCCUUGACUCUAAUACAGUCGGGGGAUGACGGUACCGGAAGAAUAAGCACCGGCUAACUACGUGCCAGCAGCCGCGGUAAUACGUAGGGUGCGAGCGUUAAUCGGAAUUACUGGGCGUAAAGCGUGCGCAGGCGGUUUGCUAAGACCGAUGUGAAAUCCCCGGGCUCAACCUGGGAACUGCAUUGGUGACUGGCAGGCUAGAGUAUGGCAGAGGGGGGGUAGAAUUCCACGUGUAGCAGUGAAAUGCGUAGAGAUGUGGAGGAAUACCGAUGGCGAAGGCAGCCCCCUGGGCCAAUACUGACGCUCAUGCACGAAAGCGUGGGGGAGCAAACAGGAUUAGAUACCCUGGUAGUCCACGCCCUAAACGAUGUCAACUAGUUGUUGGGGAUUCAUUUCCUUAGUAACGUAGCUAACGCGUGAAGUUGACCGCCUGGGGAGUACGGUCGCAAGAUUAAAACUCAAAGGAAUUGACGGGGACCCGCACAAGCGGUGGAUGAUGUGGAUUAAUUCGAUGCAACGCGAAAAACCUUACCUACCCUUGACAUGGUCGGAAUCCCGCUGAGAGGUGGGAGUGCUCGAAAGAGAACCGGCGCACAGGUGCUGCAUGGCUGUCGUCAGCUCGUGUCGUGAGAUGUUGGGUUAAGUCCCGCAACGAGCGCAACCCUUGUCCUUAGUUGCUACGCAAGAGCACUCUAAGGAGACUGCCGGUGACAAACCGGAGGAAGGUGGGGAUGACGUCAAGUCCUCAUGGCCCUUAUGGGUAGGGCUUCACACGUCAUACAAUGGUCGGAACAGAGGGUUGCCAACCCGCGAGGGGGAGCUAAUCCCAGAAAACCGAUCGUAGUCCGGAUUGCACUCUGCAACUCGAGUGCAUGAAGCUGGAAUCGCUAGUAAUCGCGGAUCAGCAUGCCGCGGUGAAUACGUUCCCGGGUCUUGUACACACCGC